AAAAAGGCAAACUUUAGAUUUUCAUGUCCAAUUUUAACUGUCCGUCUUAUAUGAAAUUUUUUUAUAAUUCGUAUUUUCAUUGUUGUUAGAUGAUAAAACAUGAUUAAUAUUUUAUGCGUGACUUUUUUUAAUUUUUUUUAUAAUUUUUUUAAAUAAGUUGGACGGUCAAAUGUUGGAUACGAAAAGCAGGGUUUGUCUUUUU
rfam:Oryza nivara chromosome 3, whole genome shotgun sequence.